GAUGAACGCUGGCGGCGUGCUUAACACAUGCAAGUCGAACGGAAAGGCCGAAGCUUGCUUCGGUACUCGAGUGGCGAACGGGUGAGUAACACGUGGGUGAUCUGCCCUGUACUUCGGGGAUAAGCUUGGGAAAACUGGGUCUAAUACCGGAUAUGACAAUCUCUUGGAUGGGGUUGUGGAAAGCUUUUGCGGUAUGGGAUGAGCUCGCGGCCUAUCAGCUUGUUGGUGGGGUAAUGGCCUACCAAGGCGUCGACGGGUAGCCGGCCUGAGAGGGUGUACGGCCACAUUGGGACUGAGAUACGGCCCAGACUCCUACGGGAGGCAGCAGUGGGGAAUAUUGCACAAUGGGCGCAAGCCUGAUGCAGCGACGCCGCGUGGGGGAUGACGGCCUUCGGGUUGUAAACUCCUUUCGCAACCGACGAAGCUUUUUGUGACGGUAGGUUGAGAAGAAGCACCGGCUAACUACGUG
rnacentral:rRNA from 1 species